AAAUAGAAUGAUGAAAGGAAUGAUGGAUGAAUAAUGAUUAACUAAUUUAUAUUUUAAGUUGAAUUUUAUAACUUCAAACUACAAAAUAUAGGGUUAGUCUAUCCAUUUUUAUAAUUCAUUUCAUACUUUAUUUGUCAUGAUUCAAAUGAUUAAUAAGUACUUACUUAAGUAUAAGCGACAGACUAAUCCUUCCGAUUAAAAAUUGGGGGAUUUUUUU
rnacentral:sRNA from 1 species